rnacentral:rRNA from 1 species
ACGCUCGACACCUACGGGAGACAGCAGUGAGGAAUAUUGGUCAAUGGGCGCUAGCCUGAACCAGCCAAGUAGCGUGAAGGAUGAAGGCUCUAUGGGUCGUAAACUUCUUUUAUAUAAGAAUAAAGUGCAGUAUGUAUACUGUUUUGUAUGUAUUAUAUGAAUAAGGAUCGGCUAACUCCGUGCCAGCAGCAGCGGUAAUCUGAGCGGGCUGGCAAGGC